AUUAUCUAUGAAGACGAAAUUUUUUGCCGGGCAGAAAAGAUCUGUGUUUGUUAUUGUUUUCGUCAGCGUGGUAGAUGCCGCGUGGAACUUACGUAGUAACUAACGUAAUAGGCUUUGUGGUAUUGUGAUUUCUAAGAGACGAAAAGCGGAACGCGAAAUUGUUGGACAGUCACUGAAGUAUAUAGCGAUGAAACUCGCCAAAAACAGGAAGAGAAAUGCAGCAAAACUGGAGAUACUGUGGGAAAUUCGCAUUUGCAAAAUAAGAUGCUGAAGUAGCAGAAACACAUCACAAAUCUAGUACCACGCCAGACCUACAGGAUUGUACAACCAGACGUUCUCUGCCACCACCCUAUAUUUUUUGGGAUGGUUACGGAGGAUAGGCCACGGUGUAUACCGAAGAUCAUUAUUUUAUAUUUUACCAUCUGUGCCAAAUUAAUGUUUCUGUUAAUAUAUUAAUGUUAUGGCACUGUCAAUAGUAGUAUCACAGAUACACUUUAAGAAAAUGAAACUGUUUACAUUGCGCUGUGAAAACCCACUGUCAUAUGAUGAUUAUCGAAAUGGAUGACAAUUGUAUAUCUUGUGUUGGAGUUACUGUUGCAAUGAAUGUGAUUUUUUUUGGAUGACAUGUUAAAAAC